rnacentral:lncRNA from 1 species
GAGAGAGACGCUCUUCUUCCUCCCGCCGCUGUCCCAUCUCACAUCUGCUCUGCCUGCGCACAUUUCUCUUCCCUCUUCGAUGAGCUGCGCGAACGGCGCCCUUCCUUCCUCCUGCGCUGAAGCAACAAGAUCCUCCGAUGCCAUUGGAGUUGAUUCUCUCCGCGCAAGUGGGAAAAACUGAUGCUGGCGAAAACACGCGUCCCUGUUCCCAGCCCGUCGCUGUGACACUGUGUUGAGGGCAGCGGCGGCGGCCUCCAGGUGCGGCAUGAUCAUGUGUCAUUGCUGAAGCGCGGCACGCAUGCUGUGAUGCUGAGUCGUCCCCACAUCCACAUCCACAUCCCUGUCCACUCAGGACGGAUCCACCCGAACAGCAGAGUGGAUUCACUCAGGGGGAAGGCUACACCACCUUGCAUCUCCUCCACCUCCUCGAGGCUGGGACACCAGGGCAUGUGAGAGAGCAGAAGGGGUCCGGGGCAAUAACAGGGCACUGUGUUUGAGAAGAUUUGUGUGGCAGAGAGAAGCACAGCGGCGCACCCUUGAGGCUUCUGGGUCUCACUACAGCACUGUGGACACAGCUAGUUAGUACCUAGUGCUGAAUGGCCACAAGUCUGAACCACAGCAGCAUUAAUGAGUAUAACUGCAAAGUGAGAUGCUCAUCAUGCACCGUGCUUUUCUGCGCUUUAAUCGCAAUGACCGUAGAGCUGCUCUCAAUGUAAAUCACAUCCUCUGUCAUCCGUAGGUGAGCUACAAGUUGACUGGUACGACUGGGC